CGUGUGUGAAGAAGGCCUGAGGGUUGUAAAGCACUUUAGUUGGGGAAGAGAGGAUAGAGUUAAGAGAUACUGUCUGA
rnacentral:rRNA from 1 species